UGAUUUUUUAGUCAAGAAAUGAUAUUAAAUUGCAAAUUUAAAGGUAUAAAAUAUAAAAAU
rnacentral:tRNA from 1 species